GACGAACGCUGGCGGCGUGCCUAAUACAUGCAAGUUGAGCGCUGAAGGUUGGUACUUGUACCAACUGGAUGAGCAGCGAACGGGUGAGUAACGCGUGGGGAAUCUGCCUUUGAGCGGGGGACAACAUUUGGAAACGAAUGCUAAUACCGCAUAAAAACUUUAAACACAAGUUUUAAGUUUGAAAGAUGCAAUUGCAUCACUCAAAGAUGAUCCCGCGUUGUAUUAGCUAGUUGGUGAGGUAAAGGCUCACCAAGGCGAUGAUACAUAGCCGACCCGAGAGGGUGAUCGGCCACAUUGGGACUGAGACACGGCCCAAACUCCUACGGGAGGCAGCAGUAGGGAAUCUUCGGCAAUGGACAAAAGUCUGACCGAGCAACGCCGCGUGAGUGAAGAAGGGUUUCGGAUCGUAAAACUCUGUUGGUAGAGAAGAACGUUGGUGAGAGUGGAAAGCUCAUCAAGUGACGGUAACUACCCAGAAAGGGACGGCUAACUACGUG
rnacentral:rRNA from 1 species